GUGCGGCUUGCUAUAUAGAUCGGGUAACACCUGGCACAUCCAGAUCGUAUCGAGUCGAUGCAAUACUUGAGCAGGAUUUUGAAUUCGAUUCGUUUGGUGCUGGAGUUGCACGGGAACUUGAAGAAUGUGUCGUUGAAUUUGUUCAAGAGACGCUGAAUGAGUGUUCUCUUCGGAAGUUUUGUUUGUCGAUGCUUGGUAGUGAAUUCGAUGGUAAGCGACGUUGCACGCUGCAAAAUCAGGGACAAUCCCUAGAAGGUGAAACUUGCUUUCAACAGCCUUGAAGUUCCAGUUGGGUAAGAAACUGGUUUUUGGAAAACAGGUUGUGCUUUAUUUGUGUAAUACUUUGAUUGAACAGCUGUGUGAUUGUUGAGGAUGGGCAUGUUAUUGCAGCAAGAAGAAACCCGACUAGUGAGACACGAAAUGCCUUAUGUCAGCUAGACUAUUGGUAUACUCAUUUGGUAUAAAAAUGCGCCGUGAGCAUUGUAUUGCCUUUUGAGAUGCAACAAGACAUGCAGAGAUGGAAGCUCUUGAUAUUGUUUUUGAAUAGUGGCAAAGGACUGGAUUAUUGGCUGCGAAGUUGCGAGAAGUUUUCGUAUGCUCUCUUUAUGGGACAUGCGAACCUUGCACAAUGAAAAUAAAUGGAGGAAUGGGAAUUCUGGAUCAAAGGGUUUCAAAUGUUGUGGAGGUAUAAUGGCAUCAGAAGCAAUUUCUUCUCUCUGAGAUUUUUAUGAACGAGGAAACCCCAAUGAUCGUUUGCUGUAGUGAAGAUAUGUUGUUGUAUCCAUACAUCCAAGAGAAAUGAAGCUGGCCCAGUGGAAUAUCAUGUAAUGACAGAGGGUUAAUGAAAUUGCAAGCAUCCAUCAAGGAUAAGGUGUUUAUCUUGAGAUGCUUCAAAGCCUCACAGGUCACGGGUAAAUCAUGCUUCUCAUUAGAUCUGCCUGCAUUGAUUCAUCCUGUUGAACACUCUCAUACCUUUGCACAACUAGAGUUUGGUCAAGGGAUCUAAGGAAGGAAGUGUGAUGCAUGUCCAUAUCAGUUUUUGCCAGGAUGUUCAUGUGUCUACAAAGGGUUGCAGAUGUGAUCACCAGUGAUUUCGUGCUUUAACUUGAUUAUCAGAUUGUUUCGAUAAUUUUACAGCAUAAACCUGUACAAGCAUAAGUUUUCUGAGGCUAAUUGUUGUCUACAUAUUUUGCGAUGUAGUUUGAUAUGAGUUUUUUGAACUUCGAGGUAAUUCCAGGUGCACUAUUGAUAAUUUUGAGCUUUAUGGUUCUGGACUGUCAUGUGUGAUCCGUGACAAUGAUCAUGGAUUUCCUGGGAAAGAAUUCCAUUGAUUGGAUUUGAGCUUCCCAGUUAUACCAA